rnacentral:rRNA from 1 species
UGGGGAAUAUUGGACAAUGGGGGCAACCCUGAUCCAGCCAUGCCGCGUGUGUGAAGAAGGCCUUUUGGUUGUAAAGCACUUUAAGCAGGGAGGAGAGGCUAAUGGUUAAUACCCAUUAGAUUAGACGUUACCUGCAGAAUAAGCACCGGCUAACUCUGUGCCAGCAGCCGCGGUAACACAGAGGGUGCGAGCGUUAAUCGGAAUUACUGGGCGUAAAGCGAGUGUAGGUGGCUCAUUAAGUCACAUGUGAAAUCCCCGGGCUUAACCUGGGAACUGCAUGUGAUACUGGUGGUGCUAGAAUAUGUGAGAGGGAAGUAGAAUUCCAGGUGUAGCGGUGAAAUGCGUAGAGAUCUGGAGGAAUACCGAUGGCGAAGGCAGCUUCCUGGCAUAAUAUUGACACUGAGAUUCGAAAGCGUGGGUAGCAAACAGGAUUAGAUACCCUGGUAGUCCACGCCGUAAACGAUGUCUACUAGCCGUUGGGGUCCUUGAGACUUUAGUGGCGCAGUUAACGCGAUAAGUAGACCGCCUGGGGGAGUACGGCCGCAAGGUU